rnacentral:rRNA from 1 species
CGCUCAGGUGCGAAAGCGUGGGGAGCAAACAGGAUUAGAUACCCUGUUAGUCCACGCCGUAAACGAUGUCGAUUUGGAGGUUGUUCCCUUGAGGAGUGGCUUCCGGAGCUAACGCGUUAAAUCGACCGCGUGGGGAGUACGGCCGCAAGGGUAAAACUCAAAUGAAUUGACGGGGGCCCGCACAAGCGGUGGAGCAUGUGGUUUAAUUCGAUGCAACGCGAAGAACCUUACCUACUCUUGACAUCCAGAGAAUUUAGCAGAGAUGCUUUAGUGCCUUCGGGAACUCUGAGACGGGUGCUGCAUGGCUGUCGUCAGCUCGUGUUGUGAAAUGUUGGGUUAAGUCCCGCAACGAGCGCAACCCUUAUCCUUUGUUGCCAGCACAUUAUGGUGGGAACUCAAAGGAGACUGCCGGUGAUAAACCGGAGGAAGGUGGGGAUGACGUCAAGUCAUCAUGGCCCUUACGAGUAGGGCUACACACGUGCUACAAUGGCGUAUACAAAGAGAAGCGACCUCGCGAGAGCAAGCGGAACUCAUAAAGUACGUCGUAGUCCGGAUUGGAGUCUGCAACUCGACUCCAUGAAGUCGGAAUCGCUAGUAAUCGUAGAUCAGAAUGCUACGGUGAAUACGUUCCCGGGCCUUGUACACACCGCCCGUCACACCAUGGGAGUGGGUUGCAAAAGAAGUAGGUAGCUUAACCUUCGGGAGGGCGCUUACCACUUUGUGAUUCAUGACUGGGGUGAAGUCGUAACAAGGUAACCA